GUCUAUGGCCAUACCACCUUGAAGGCACCCAGUAUCUGAUCUUGGAACCUAAGCAUGGUCGGGCCUGGUUCGUACUUGGAUUGGGCAUACUGGGCAUACUGUAUGCUGCAGGCU
rnacentral:rRNA from 1 species